AACGAACGCUGGCGGCAUGCCUAACACAUGCAAGUCGAACGAGACCUUCGGGUCUAGUGGCGCACGGUUGCGUAACGCGUGGGAACCUGCCUUUAGGUUCGGAAUCACUCAGAGAAAUUUGAGCUAAUACCGGAUGAUGUCUUCGGACCAAAGAUUUAUCGCCUUUAGAUGGGCCCGCGUUGGAUUAGCUAGUUGGUGGGGUAAAGGCCUACCAAGGCGACGAUCCAUAGCUGGUCUGAGAGGAUGAUCAGCCACACUGGGACUGAGACACGGCCCAGACUCCUACGGGAGGCAGCAGUGGGGAAUAUUGGACAAUGGGCGAAAGCCUGAUCCAGCAAUGCCGCGUGAGUGAUGAAGGCCUUAGGGUUGUAAAGCUCUUUUACCCGAGAUGAUAAUGACAGUAUCGGGAGAAUAAGCUCCGGCUAACUCCGUG
rnacentral:rRNA from 1 species